CCCUGCCAUUUGUACACACCGCCCGUCGCUCCUACCGAUUGAAUGUUCCGGUGAACACUCGAGAGUCGUGACCUGGAUUGGGGCAACUCAUCUUGGUCAACGGUGAACUUGUGUAAACCUUAACAUUUAGAGGA
rnacentral:rRNA from 1 species